rnacentral:rRNA from 1 species
GCUACGGGAGGCAGCAGUGAGGAAUAUUGGUCAAUGGACGAGAGUCUGAACCAGCCAAGUAGCGUGAAGGAUGACUGCCCUAGGGGCUGUAAACUUCUUUUAUAUGGGAGUAAAACGCUCCACGUGGGGGAUUACGUAUGUACCAUAAGAAUAAGGAACGGCUAACUUCGUGCCAGCAGCAGAGGUCAUACGGAGGAUACGAGCGUUAUCCGGAUUGAGUGGGGUUAAAGGGAGUGUAGGGGACGUGUUAAGUCAGUUGUGAAAGGUUGCGGCUCAAACGCAAAAGUGCAGUUGAAACUGGCUGUCUUGAGUACAGUAGAGGUGGGCGGAAUUCGUGGGGUAGCGGUGAAAUGCUUAGAUAUCACGAAGAACUCCGGUUGCGAAGG